rnacentral:rRNA from 1 species
UUAUAUGAGAGUUUGAUCCUGGCUCAGGAUGAACGCCGGCGGUGUGCCUAAUACAUGCAAGUCGAACGCGUUGGCCCAAUUGAUUGAUGGUGCUUGCACCUGAUUGAUUUUGGUCGCCAACGAGUGGCGGACGGGUGAGUAACACGUAGGUAACCUGCCCAGAAGCGGGGGACAACAUUUGGAAACAGAUGCUAAUACCGCAUAACAGCGUUGUUCGCAUGAACAACGCUUAAAAGAUGGCUUCUCGCUAUCACUUCUGGAUGGACCUGCGGUGCAUUAGCUUGUUGGUGGGGUAACGGCCUACCAAGGCGAUGAUGCAUAGCCGAGUUGAGAGACUGAUCGGCCACAAUGGGACUGAGACACGGCCCAUACUCCUACGGGAGGCAGCAGUAGGGAAUCUUCCACAAUGGGCGCAAGCCUGAUGGAGCAACACCGCGUGAGUGAAGAAGGGUUUCGGCUCGUAAAGCUCUGUUGUUAAAGAAGAACACGUAUGAGAGUAACUGUUCAUACGUUGACGGUAUUUAACCAGAAAGUCACGGCUAACUACGUGCCAGCAGCCGCGGUAAUACGUAGGUGGCAAGCGUUAUCCGGAUUUAUUGGGCGUAAAGAGAGUGCAGGCGGUUUUCUAAGUCUGAUGUGAAAGCCUUCGGCUUAACCGGAGAAGUGCAUCGGAAACUGGAUAACUUGAGUGCAGAAGAGGGUAGUGGAACUCCAUGUGUAGCGGUGGAAUGCGUAGAUAUAUGGAAGAACACCAGUGGCGAAGGCGGCUACCUGGUCUGCAACUGACGCUGAGACUCGAAAGCAUGGGUAGCGAACAGGAUUAGAUACCCUGGUAGUCCAUGCCGUAAACGAUGAGUGCUAGGUGUUGGAGGGUUUCCGCCCUUCAGUGCCGGAGCUAACGCAUUAAGCACUCCGCCUGGGAGUACGUACGACCGCAAGGUUGAAACUCAAAGGAAUUGACGGGGGCCCGCACAAGCGGUGGAGCAUGUGGUUUAAUUCGAAGCUACGCGAAGAACCUUACCAGGUCUUGACAUCUUGCGCCAACCCUAGAGAUAGGGCGUUUCCUUCGGGAACGCAAUGACAGGUGGUGCAUGGUCGUCGUCAGCUCGUGUCGUGAGAUGUUGGGUUAAGUCCCGCAACGAGCGCAACCCUUGUUACUAGUUGCCAGCAUUAAGUUGGGCACUCUAGUGAGACUGCCGGUGACAAACCGGAGGAAGGUGGGGACGACGUCAGAUCAUCAUGCCCCUUAUGACCUGGGCUACACACGUGCUACAAUGGACGGUACAACGAGUCGCGAACUCGCGAGGGCAAGCAAAUCUCUUAAAACCGUUCUCAGUUCGGACUGCAGGCUGCAACUCGCCUGCACGAAGUCGGAAUCGCUAGUAAUCGCGGAUCAGCAUGCCGCGGUGAAUACGUUCCCGGGCCUUGUACACACCGCCCGUCACACCAUGAGAGUUUGUAACACCCAAAGUCGGUGGGGUAACCUUUUAGGAGCCAGCCGCCUAAGGUGGGACAGAUGAUUAGGGUGAAGUCGUAACAAGGUAGCCGUAGGAGAACCUGCGGCUGGAUCACCUCCUUU